GCCUCGUUUCAUGAUCUCCCUCUCACCUUUUCCAAUACAAGUCCAAGUAUUCCAUCAAAGAAUGUUCCUGUGCCGGGAAAGAGGAAUGAUCAAAAGGAUAGAGAUGCCCGCUAAGCAAAGGCAAUGGGACCAUGUUACAAAGAUCAGACUGACUGGCUUUGAUUGACUAGUCUCAUGUUGAUGGAAUUGCUUGGUCCUCGUCUCCCGAAUGAGAGAAAGUUGGUGCCCUUUACUAGUAGGGCUGNNNN
rnacentral:lncRNA from 1 species